AGGUUAUUAGGUUGUUUACUGAGCUGUUCAUUUCGUUUGAUUUUUCAAUCAUUGUUGUAUCUCAAGAAAUGGUGCAUAAUUGUGUAGUGCGUGGUUGUGGUAGUACGUGGUGUCCCGGAAGUGACUUAAAAUUCCACGCAUUUCCUAACAAUAGCACUCGGAGAAAUUUGUGGUUAUCCAUUAUACCAUUGAAAGCGAAGUUUUAUAAAAGUGCAAGGAUUUGCAAUUUGCAUUUUCAAGAAUCAGAUUAUGAUUCAACAACCAGGCGACUAAAACAAACAGCAGUUCCUACUAUAGUAACAAAUCAAGAAACACAAGCACCAGGCAAGACAGAAAGUUUAUUAGAUGACGAGUCUAUGGUGCAAAUAGCUGAUGUGACCGUACCAAGGACUAGUUCCGGCAUUUGUGAAAGAAAUUCUCCACUUAUGGAACAUGACGAGUCUAAGGUGCCAAUAGCUGCUGUGUAUAUACUACCAAGCACUAGUUCUGGCAUUUGUGAAAGGAAGUCACCUGUCAGCAGUGAGUACCACGUUCCUGUGAAGAUGGACAAGGGCAUCCAAGUGGAAAUAAAGUCUGCUCGAGAAAAAAUACUUCAAAAGGAAAAAAGGAUUUUAAAGCAAAAAUUGGCGCGACAAAUUAAAAAAAAUCGAGAUAUGUCUUCCUUAUUGGCAUCUUUAAAAAAGUAUUUGCGUCAAUCAGAAAUUGAAAAUAUUAUCCAAGGGCGUUUUGCUCAUAUCUCUAAGAAAUUAAAAAAACCACAGAGUAAACUACAUGGCAUUCGUUAUAGUGAAGAAGUGAAGGCCUUUGCUUUAACUUUGUAUUCCUAUUCACCAAAAGCUUACGAAUUUUUAAGAAAAUAUAUAACUUUACCUCAUGUAGAAACUAUUCAAAGAUCUUUGUCUUAAUUUUUUUGGUUCUUUGUUUCUUGUGUGAAGUUUUUAGGGUUCCGUACCUCAAAAGGAAAAAACGGACCCCUUAUAGGAUCACUUUGUUGUCCGUCUGUCCGUCCGUCUGUCA